rnacentral:rRNA from 1 species
UACGGAGGGUGCAAGCGUUAUCCGGAUUCACUGGGUUUAAAGGGUGCGUAGGCGGGCAGGUAAGUCAGUGGUGAAAUCUCCGGGCUUAACCCGGAACUGCCGUUGAUACUAUCUGUCUUGAAUAUCGUGGAGGUAAGCGGAAUAUGUCAUGUAGCGGUGAAAUGCUUAGAUAUGACAUAGAACACCAAUUGCGAAGGCAGCUGGCUACAGGUACAUUGACACUGAGGCACGAAAGCGUGGGGAUCAAACAGG